GAUGAACGCUGGCGGCGUGCCUAAUACAUGCAAGUCGAACGCUCCACUUCGGUGAAGUGUGGCGAACGGGAGAGUAAUACAUAAGUAACCCGGCAUCUACAGGGUGACAACUGAUGGAAACGUCAGCUAAGACCGCAUAGCUGUAGAGAUCGCAUGAAUUCUAUAUGAAAAGUCCUACGUGACUGGUAGUUGUUGGAUUUAUGGAGCAUUAGCUUGUUGGUAGGGUAACGGCUUACCAAGGCGACGAUGCGUAGCCGACCUGAGAGGGUGACCGGCCACACUGGGAGUGAGACACGGCCCAGACUCCUACGGGAGGCAGCAGUAGGGAAUUUUCCGCGAUGGGGGAAUGCCUGACCGAGCAACGCCGCGGGAAGGAUGAAGUAAUUCGUUAGGUAGAAUUCUGUCAUAGUGGAAGAACGGAGGAUAUAGGAAAUGAGAUCAUAGUGACGGUACUCUAUAAGAAAGCCACGGCUAACUACGUG
rnacentral:rRNA from 1 species